rnacentral:rRNA from 1 species
CGAGMGCAACCCUUAUCCUUUGUUGCCAGCGRUCCGGCCGGGAACUCAAAGGAGACUGCCAGUGAUAAACUGGAGGAAGGUGGGGAUGACGUCAAGUCAUCAUGGCCCUUACGAGUAGGGCUACACACGUGCUACAAUGGCGCAUACAAAGAGAAGCGACCUCGCGAGAGCAAGCGGACCUCAUAAAGUGCGUCGUAGUCCGGAUUGGAGUCUGCAACUCGACUCCAUGAAGUCGGAAUCGCUAGUAAUCGUGGAUCAGAAUGCCACGGUGAAUACGUUCCCGGGCCUUGUACACACCGCCCGUCACACCAUGGGAGUGGGUUGCAAAAGAAGUAGGUAGCUUAAACCCUUG